UUACCAUUUUACAGGGGGUUAUGCAACUUCCUGGAGUCUUUGCUAGUUGCCUGGCAACUGCUCCCAGCCAAGAAAUGGAGAAUAAUACAGAACACAACCUGAAUGAUCGUUUAUUACACUUAAGUUUUUGAAUAGGUUAAACAAACGAGAUACAACAUGUUAAUUAGUGAGAUUUAGAGGUGCUGGUAGGUGUAUUUUGUUCCAGAAAAGCAGUUUCCCCGUUUCAGGUAUUUGUGCAACGCAUGUUGUGGUAAUACUAACUUCGGCCACAAGAGGCCGAAGUGCACCACGACCCCAUGUUCUAAACAGGACUACAAGCAUUCAUGUUUUCUUCCAGCCUGAUGAAGUCUUCAGCAUCUCUGGGGCUGUUAAAGAUGUGGGGCCAUCCCUUGUAUGUGGAGUCGAGCAGAAGGAAUCAUGCUGUACCGGAGUCCUAUCGGAGCUGACGCCUCGUCGAACUCUUUUUGAUUCUUGUGCACGCCUGCUGCCAUUUCCAGGUAAAACCUCACAGGCUGGUUCUUGGAAAGGCAUAAAUUGUGUGGGGUACGCACAUCCAAAAAACUUUUACAGGUGCUGGAUCAAAAAGCAAACUAAAGGCAAGAAUCAAACAGAAGAUCCGCACACUGCACUGAUGAAGAUCUUUGUUAGAUUGAAAUGUUGCUCAAUUAAAAUUGAUGGGAGCAAUUGGUACAGUAUGCAAAUCUUCUGUUUGAUUCUUGCCUUUGGUUCUUGUAAAGAACCUGUCUUUUUGGCUGCUUUUACCAACGUUUGUUUAUAUUUUUAGUACAAAAACUUCAUUAUGAGUGUUCUGGGUGAAGUGCUGAUCUCUGUUCUGGACCAAUUCUGUGUGCCCUUUACAGUGAGUAGAGAGAGCAGCAUUAGCUGUUUUGUCGGUAUCCAUAGCUUUGGCGCUAGCAGUAGUCUUGGAGUUGGUGCUUGGCGAUACAGCAGUCCCAAAUACGAGCUUUAGAAAGGAUUUUGCUUCAAGAGUAUUGGAACAGGUUAACACACAUCCACUCAGCUAGCCGCCAUAACCAGAAGACCCCAGACUGACAUCGUUAAUUUCCUUCCAUUCAGUUCAAGUUUUAUUCAUAACAAUAUGGAUAAUUUCCUGUUCUUCUACUGCUCUUAAAAAAAUGCUUGGCUUUUUAUCCCCCCCUUUGGCUGUGGGUCAUUGACUUCUUCUGGAAUAUUUGAUCCCACACUUAAAAAUUGUUAAACCCAUUCACCACUUCAUUCAUACUGUUUAUAGUCUUAUCAUUGUCAAUAAAAUACUGAGUGUAACUUGUGUUGUUUGAUCCAUUUCUAAUAAUGCUAUGCUAUAUAUUUACAUUUAUGUUCUGCCUCUGUAGUUCUGUAUAUAUAUAUAUAUAUAUAUAUAUAUAUAUGGGUCUAAAAGUCUGAUACCACUUUCCCAUUCACACUAAUGGGAAAGUGAUGUCAGACUUUUCGAACCUACUGUGUAUAUAUAUUUUUUGAAGGUAUUUUCUAGUCCCUUUGUGAUCCAUGGCCUAUCAGUUAAAGAGAAAUUAUUUUUUACUUUACUUAUUAAUUACUUUCUGAAGCCUGUUGCCUUGAAGAGGGUUGGAGCAGAGAGUACAGGUGCCAGCUGGGGUGAGGGAAGUCUUCACGUCAAUCAGUUGUAAUUUCCUGGAUGAGGCCUUGGCCCCAGACUGUGGAAACAUGUCUGUGGUUACAGAUGUUUUGUAGCUCCAUUGAGUUGCUUCACGUCCUAUGCCUUUCUGUUUUAACCAAAAUCUGAAGUGCCAUAUUGAUUGGUGCAAGUGGCCGUGGUCUAUCACAUGUUUGUUCAUAACUCAAGAUCUCACUCCUUCUAUAAAACAGAAUUAAACAAGCUGAAGUGACUUUGCUUGGCUUUGGGAAGCCUGAAACCCGCCAAUUGAGCUGCUUCUUUCUGUUGAGCACAAAAUGGUUUGAACCUUCAAAUUGCCACUAGCUUCUAUAUUUCUUUUUAUUGUUAAUCUCCUGUAAUGUACAACCUAACCCUGGUCCAGCUGAUACUGACAUUAAGAUAUGUAAUACUCCAGCUGAUUUUAAGCGCAGGUCUUGUCUGGGUGUCAUUCAUAUGUAGUGUUCUCCCUAAAAUUGAUUCGCUACGUAUCUGGGCAAAAUCAAGUGAUACUGAUGUUAUUGUUUUAUCUGAAACCUGGCUCACCAAAUCUAUUAUGGAUAAAGUCAUCUCUAUUGGUGGGUACAAUGUUUACCGAACUGAUCACCUCAAGUGUGUAUGUGUGUGUGUGCUGUGCUCUCUAAAUCUGUUAGUAAGCAAUUGGAGUUUCUGGCCCUAGAUAUUGAGGUUUGUAAAGGUUUUUUUGUUACUGUAGUCCGGUGCUAUAGACCGCUGUCAGCUGUUGUUGAUACACUUCCAGUGCUGUCACAGUUACUAUCACAGCUGCAGUACAGCGAGAUUUUGGCAGGUAACCUAAAUUGGGACUGGCUAAAACCUAUGUCUAAUGGUCUUAAAGAUCUCUGUAGCUCACUUAAUCUUACCCAAUUUAUUGGAUGCCCCACACAUCCUAACUCCAAAUACCUGAAGAAAUCCUCUUUAAUUGAUUUGUUUUUAACACCCCACAAGUACUUUGAGAUUGGUGCUUUUGCAAAUGAUAAUAGUGAUCACUGUGUAAUAGGAAUUCCAAAAUUCCCAAGUCCAAGCCUUUUUUUGUUAUAAAGCGUGAUAUGAAGCACUUUUCUAAACAAGGUUUUUUUUUACCAUUCGAAGUUUAGUAGGGAUACUCAGUUUGCUUUGCCCGGGUGCCACUUUUGCAAAAUGAUAAGAGGCCAGGGGCCAGUUAAUAAACAAACAUUAUGAAAACAAUACAUGAAAAUACUAGCUGUCUUCAUUACGAAAAUGUCAUUCGUUGUCUGGCCACAUAAACAAAAUGACCCUUGCUGGAGUUGAAUCACUAAACGUUACGUUUCUCUACCAUGAUCACCACAGAUGCCUUUUAAAGUACGCCAUGGAGAUGUCGAGGAAAGUGGGGAGACAGGAGAUCACGCAUCCCAGAGCCAAUGUUGUCACAUACAUUCACAUUAGUACAUACUUAAACCAGAAUGCAUCUAAAAUGUGACCCAACUGUGGUAUUAUAUAUAGUAGCCAUGAAAUAAAAUGGAUUAUAAUAUAGCUUUACAAUGUAUUCUGGCAAUACUAGCUGCCUGAUCCACCAAAAUCAAAUAAUUAAGAUUAGGCAACAUAAAAAUAAAAAAAGACUUUAAAGAGUGUAAGGAUUUUACACAUAUAUUUAAGUUCAAAUAUGCAAUGAAAACUUGAUACAUGUAGGUAGACUUAAUGACAGAAGGAAGGACAUCAAUAAUGAUUGACAUAAAAUAAAAAUAUUACUAACAUCUCUUGCCAGAAAAGUCGCCCUCCGGAAAGGCCAACACAUACUGUGUAAUACCACAGACUGCAUGUGGUGCACUCAAUCUAUAAGGGAAAAAAGAAAAUAAAUAAAUAAAGACCUUUGAAUAUUGUCAAACAUUCACAUGUUCAUGUCACUCAUCCAGUAGGAUGAAGCAGUUUAAAUAUCACUGGAACUUGUAUAGCAUAUGUGUGUCAGAUUCUGGGUUUAAAUCUUAGCUCUGGUCCUUUCUGUGUUGAGUCAGUGUCUUCUUAUGUUCCUUCGGCUGCACCGGAGUCCUCCAAAAGUGCAAACGACAUGCAAGUUAGGUGAAUUAAACUAUACAUAUAGAAUAAUAGCUGUAUGAUUGUGAGUGUUGACCCAGUGAAAGGUAACCUAUCCAAGGUGCAUCCCAGUCUUUCAGCUGAACGGUGGUCAGUUUAAUUAAUCUUCUAACCCACUCAUCAAUUUCAGCCCCCAAGCUGUCCUUGCCAUACGCCCAACACAGCUCAGAGGUCAUCUGUAAAAAUAACAGACAUUAAUGUAGUCGAAUGCCAAUACAGACCAGUAUACCUGAUUGAGUACUGUAUACCUUUCAGCAUGGACAUGGCAAUUUCCAGCCUCAACCGAGCCACACCCUCUUGGUCCACAGGGUACUGGACAGGUUGUUGCAAGCUACAAGGUUUCUGAUAAGUAUAAUUAUGGUGACUUUGUAUAAAUGACACAUGGCCACAGAGAUAAUCACAUUGUUACCUUGCACACAAACUCACCACAAGAUGUUUUGUCCUGCUGUUUGGGUUGGGCAAUCGUGGAGCAUGUCCAGCUCCCCCUUGCUGGACACUUUUUGUGGACCAGCACACUACACAGAGAACAGAUUGUUUACAGGUUUACCCAUUGUAACAGAAACCCAUGUAAGAUCCUUUACAAGUCAGUAUCAGUUGAAUCAUGUUAAAUUACUUCACAAGGACAAGCACAAGUCAUAAAAAAUUAUUUAAUAGGCUUUGUGUUGCUCCCUAAAUAUAAUCCAAUAUAAAUGAAUACAUGUAUCUGUCUAACGUACACAUUAAAGCUGAUAUUUCACUCACCUUA